AGGCUGUCCGACGAACAGAGUUCUGGUGACUCAUGGCUUUCAAUAGAUGAUGAACUCUUUGAUUCUGAUACCAAGGCUACCUUGGAGAAUGUUCCACAGAAAUAUGAUAGUCACUUAACUGGAGCUGAUGGUCAAAGAGGAAAAAUUACAAUAAAGGAACAAUAAGAUUCUCUUGAGCAAUAUCAUCACUUGAAG